GACGAACGCUGGCGGCGUGCUUAACACAUGCAAGUCGAACGAUGAACCCGGAGCUUGCUCUGGGGGAUUAGUGGCGAACGGGUGAGUAACACGUGAGUAACCUGCCCUGGACUCUGGGAUAAGCGUUGGAAACGACGUCUAAUACCGGAUAGGACCUUGGAUCGCAUGAUCUUGGGUGGAAAGAUAUUUCGGUCUGGGCUGGACUCGCGGUCUAUCAGCCUGUUGGUGAGGUAAUGGCUCACCAAGGCGUCGACGGGUAGACGGCCUGAGAGGGUGACCGGCCACACUGGGAAUGAGACACGGCCCAGACUCCUGCGGGAGGCAGCAGUGGGGAAUAUUGCACAAGGGGCGAAAGCCUGAUGCAGCAACGGCGCGUGCGGGAUGACGGCCUUCGGGUUGUAAAACGCUUUUAGUAGGGAAGAAGGGCUUCGGCUUGACGGUACCUGCAGAAAAAGGACCGGCUAACUACGUG
rnacentral:rRNA from 1 species